UCCCUGGUGGUCCAGUGGCUAAGACUCCAUGCUUCCAAUGUAGGGGGCCCAGGUUCAAUCCCUGUCCGGGGAA
rnacentral:tRNA from 1 species